GGCUGAUGGGAGUCAUUGCAGAUUUGAGUCACGCAUGCUCAGAUUUAGACGGUUUACAGCACAACGUGUCAUACUGAUAUUUGUGAAACCCAUGAAAUAAAAACUUUUCUCAUUACAAACAAUGGCAAAAGAUGGAAAUCGUAUCAAAAACGUUGUAGCU